rnacentral:lncRNA from 1 species
CCCAGGCUGGAGUACAUUGGCAUGAUCAUGGCUUACUGCAGCCUUGACCUGGGCUUACUUGAUUCUCUUACCUCAGACUCUUGUGUAGGUCAAACUAUAGGCAUUCACCAUCACAUCUAAGUUUUUUUUAGGUAUUUAUUCACUCUGUGGUCCAGGCUGGUCCCAAACUCCUGGGUUCAAGAGAUCUACUUGCCUUGGCCUUCCAAAGUGUUGACAUUACAGUCAUGAGCCACUGCACCCAGAUGCAUUUCUGUAUAGAUUUUAAGUGUAGUCCGUUUCUUCCAGAAAGUGUGGUGGGGGGUGAAUUGGGAUUGUGUUCAAUCUGUAUAUCCAUUGAGAAUUGACAUAUUAAAAAUAUUUAGUAUUCCAGAUCGUGAACACGGUAUAUCUGUCUAUUUAGGUCUUCUUUUAUUUCUGUCAACAAUAUAACUUUAGUUUAUAAAUCUUCUGUCAAAUUUAUCCCUGAGUGUUUUAUAUUUUUUGAUGCUAUUGUGAAAUGAUACCAGUUUAAAAUUACAGUUUCCAGUAUUACUGGUAUAUAUUGAUCUUGAUUCCUAUAACUUUGCUGAAAUCACUUACUAGUUCUAGAAUUUUUUUUCUUUUUUGGUAGAUUCUUUUGGAUUUUUAAGUUGUGGAACUUAUCACCUGGGAAUAAAAAAGGCAGUUUUACUUCUUUCCAAUGCAGAUGACUUUUUUGUUUUUUUUUUCUUGCCAUAUUGGAUGGAAGGGAACCUUAAGUAUAGGGCGAGAGUGAACAUCCUUGUCUUGUUCCUGUUUUUGAGGGAAAGUAUACAGUCUUUCAUUAUUAUGUAAAUAUUAGCUGUAGGUUUUUUGUAGAUACCCUUUAUUGGUUUGAGGAAAUUUUCUUUGGUUUGCUGUUUUUACCAGGAGUAGAUGUUGGAUUUUGUCAAAUGCUUUUUGUGGGUCUGAUCGAGAUAAUCACACAAUUUUAAUAUAGUGAAUUACAUGACUUGAAUUUUCAAAUAUUAAAGUGGUCUUGUAUUUCUGGGUUAAAUCACAUUUUGGUCAUGCAAUAUUAUUUUUUUAACCCUUUUUGCAUUUAGAAAAAAAGCUGCAGCUUGCUGCCAGUUCUCAUGUAAUUUCACAUAAACACACUCUUUGAGGCUGAAGCAAAUCUGAUUUUCAGUGUGAAAAUAAAAUAUAAAAACUGUUCUUGGAGUUAUUUCUAAACAGAACUAACAUCAGAAUCAUCUGACUCAUCAGAAUCAUCUGUUUUGGAAAAUUCAGAUUCAUCAAAUUAGUCUUCGGCCAACUGAGAACAAUGUUAACAUCACCUUUAGGAAUGUUAUGCAGGCCAAGAAUAAAAUCUUUAUGAACUAACAAGAUGAAUUAAAGAUGGAAUGAUUCAUUUCUAUGGUUAGGUUUUAAUUAAUACAUGGGGGAUGAUUUUGGCACUUUUUCAAAGAAUUUGUUUCUGUGUAUCUGAAUUUGCACCUACUCUGUAACCUAACUGCGAUUUAUAAAAUGAAACAAUCUCUUCUAAUUUGGCACUUGAUAGGUGCUUUGACUUUAAAAGGCAAGUGUAUUUUUCUGUCACGAAUAUCUUGUCAUUCUAAAAUAAGUAAAAACAAUGGAUUGAUGAAACUU